GAGCCUCGCCCGAUACUGAGCCGGCAAGACGGAGGGGAGGCAUUAGGCGUAAGAGGCUGCAGCAGUGUAUUAAGUCAAGGCCCUCCACUCAUCGGCCGCCGCGCCCCUUGUGUGAGCCCCGCCAGGAGGACCGGGGAGGACCGCCGGGCUCUGAAGGGACUGGGCGGCUGCCAACACGAACGAUAUGCCCGUCAGCCGAACUUACUAGAGUGACUGCGCUGUCAUAUUAGGGUUAUUUUGUUUCUUUGACAUGAAACAGGUUUUCGUAGAAAGGAUCGUAUAUUACCUGAAUUUCACUCCACUGUACUCCCACACGACCUCUGCGUGUAACGAAACACACGAGAAAUUAACCCAGACGAGGAUAGGGUUUGCCGGCGCCGGGGAUCGAAGCCGCGACCAACGACAUGGGAGCCAGUCGCCCAGAGAAGUACACCCCCUCGCAGGACGUCAUAGCUUCUUUCCGUGCAUUUUGCCCGGAACUCAAUGCUGGAUCUCCCACUGGCGAAGAAAAGGAGAGAAAAAGAGUAAAAUAAGACCCACGACAGUACUAAACCAUGCAGUGCCGUUACAGAGGCAAAACUGCACCAUCCUUGAACUGAGCCAAGACCAAGACUAUUUCUGCGCCGGGAGGGGCGGGAAAUGUUUGUCUGAGACGGAAAAACCUACCAAGGGAAGGCCGAGACACAGGUGGCAGGACACAGGUGCUUAGGGAGGGACGAGGAGAGGCCUGUGGUGCUGUGAGGGGUGACGAGGGACGAGGGCGAGGAUGAG